GGGCGAUUGGUUUAGUGGUAUAAUGCAUCCUUAGCAUGGAUGAGGUCCGGGGUUCGAUUCCCCGAUCGUCCA
rnacentral:tRNA from 1 species